CUUUGGUUUGCCCAGAAUUCUGAAGUAACAUAUCCAGUUUACCAGGAAUCUAGAUCCCUGAAGCAGGGUUUUGAGGAGCUGUGCUUUGAGGAGCUGUGUCUGACAGUGCCUGCUUGUCUGUGCGACUCUGAGCUCCCCGAUCCUCCCUGGGUCUUGGUAAGAUGUGUACGUUGUGUCGGAGCUGACGUCUGUGUGCCGUCCCUACAAUCUACGAACACAGUGUUUCAGCUCGUCUGUGACCAGGGCUGGUAGGAACUUCCAGAGGACUAACUCGCUCCCCCAGAGGACCAGAGCUAAACCAGACCCAGUCCAAUGACCGGCAUGAGGCCACGAAGACCAAGCAGGAUAGUGUGUCUGUUACUGUCAGUGGUUCUGGGGUGAGUGGAUUGACUCUCUAUCUUACUGUUUUGUGACUCCUGGGACAUCUCAUUAAGUAGUCUGCUGCUGCUGCUAUUCAAGGAGACACAGCCCUAUACCACCUAGACAGGGGUUUGCAUUAGUGACUCAUUAAAGGGUUACUUCACCGAUUCAGAACCGGCGUUCUAUCAUUCUAAAAUCGCUAUUGUAAUAUA